rnacentral:rRNA from 1 species
CAGCCGUAAACUAUGCGCGUUAGGUGUAUCGGUGACCACGAGUUACCGAGGUGCCGAAGGGAAACCGUGAAACGUGCCGCCUGGGAAGUACGGUCGCAAGGCUGAGACUUAAAGGAAUUGGCGGGGGAGCACCACAACAGGUGGAGCCUGCGGUUUAAUUGGACUCAACGCCGGACAACUCACCGGGGACGACAGCAAUAUGUAGGCCAGGCUGAAGACCUUGCCUGAAUCGCUGAGAGGAGGUGCAGUGGCGUAGACGUCU